ensembl:lncRNA
UGGGAGGUUGAGGUUGAUCUGAGUUGCCAUUCAUCUGCCAAACCCUCCAGGGCAACUCUUCUUCAACCUCGACCUAUACAGGAAAGGGGGACAGUCUCUUCACCAAUUUGUUCUUCACUGUGUAGUGGGAGUUGGGAGCAGGUGGGAGAUAUGCGUCACAUGAUUAACUCAAGCCACUCAAUAAAAACCUUCCACAAAUUAGAUCUGUAAAAAGCAUUCUUGCUAAUGUUCACAAGCUGCUAAAAACACACAAAAUAGCUUUUGCACCCCGAGAUCUGGAGGAAAUUCAAAGUUCUACUUGGCUGCUGAGUCCAAUUAGGGAAGCAAGCCCUGUUGCUGGGUUUAUCAGUGAAUCUGAGGGGAAAGGAAAAUGGCAGCAGUGGGAUGGACAAAUGGUUGUUAUCUUGAAUUCAUGAAAUCAUGAUGACGAUGAUGAUGACACUUAGUUUUAUAUAUAAACCUGAAAAUAAAAACACAAAGGACUAAGUAUACUAAAUAGAUCCUCACCCUUUGCAAAUGUAAACUCUCAGUUUCAUUUACAAAUAGCACGUUGUGCAAGUUAGUUUGCAAUUUUACCUUUAAUAAUUAAAUCUAUCUUAUUCUGAGAAAAGUGACCACCAAAGGACAGGCAGUGAACAUUUUAAAAUUGAUUGUGGUUUAAGGCAAUUAUUCUCAACCUAAAUCAACUGCAUCACCUUGUAACUUCUUAGAAAUUAUUCAGGCUCCACCCCAGGCCUAUCAAAUAAGAAACACUGGGGAUAGGGCCCAGCAAUCUGUGUUUGCAAGCCUUCAAGGUGAUUUAAUAUACUCUAAAAUUUGAGAAUCACUGGUCUAAGGCGUUGGAUAGAGUUCCUGACCCAAUGUAUCUUAAGACAGAGAAAACAGAUCCCCCCUUUUUUGUUUAAAUUUUUUUGUUGUGAAAGGUUUUUCAUAUAUACAAAAUGUUCAAGAAAUGAUGGAAGAAAUAUUUAUAUAAUAAAUCCCCAAGUUUCUACUUAUUGACACAUGGCCAGUUUUGUUUCAUGUGUUUUCUUCACAUCACAUUAAUGGGCCAUUUAAAAAUAAUUCCCAGCCAUGACAUCAUGUCAAAUAACAUUUCAAAAAACUGAGAGCACUUAUAAAGUACUGUUAGUACAAUUUAAACAAUUUUAUGGUGCCUUAUAAGAAGAGUUGGCCAAUGAAUAGAAUUCACUGUGUGAACAUGCUGCAUUUCCCUCCAUGAAUGGAAGGUACAGUCACUGUCCAUUGCAUUCAUAGCUCCAUCUUGAUCAGAGAAGUUCCCUCACAACCUGCUUUAGACAUUCAGCCCCUCAGGAGGAUAGACAUUAGCUCAGAUGGAAAACACCAUUUGUAAUUCAUUGCUCUCAUAUGAGUAUGAUGUAAAUUCUCCUCAGCUUUGUAAACUGCUCAGUUUUUAUCAUAUACAAGAGUCCGUGUUAUCUUAACUAUCUCUUAGUCUGACACAGCACACUGCUAAGUGGAGACAGUGGUCCAUGGGUCCAUAGGUGGGGAUGACAAUGAAUCCCCCCACCCCCCAGAAAAAAAAAAAAA